AACGUAGGUGACAAGCGUUAUCCGGAUUUACUGGGCGUAAAGCGCGUUCAGGCGGUUUGGCAAGUCGGGCAUGAAAUCUCCUGGCUCAACCAGGAGGGGCUGUCCGAUACUUCCAGACUUGAGGGCAGUAGAAGGUGGUGGAAUUCCGGGUGUAGUGGUGAAAUGCGUAGAUAUCCGGAGGAACACCUGUGGCGAAAGCGGCCACCUGGACUGCACCUGACGCUGAAACGCGAAAGCUAGGGGAGCGAACGGG
rnacentral:rRNA from 1 species